CGGUAAUACGGAGGAUCCAAGCGUUAUCCGGAAUCAUUGGGUUUAAAAGGUCCGUAGGCGGUCAGAUGAGUCAGUGGUGAAAGCCCAUCGCUCAACGGUGGAACGGCCAUUGGUACUGUCUGACUUGAAUUAUUAGGAAGUAACUAGAAUAUGUAGUGUAGCGGUGAAAUGCUUAGAGAUUACAUGGAAUAUUAAUUGCGAAGGCAGAUUACUACUAAUAUAUUGACGCUGAUGGACGAAAGCGUGGGUAGCGAACAGGAUUAGAUACCCUGGUAGUCCACGCCGUAAGUAAUGGAUACUAGCUGUUGGGAGCAAUCUCAGUGGCUAAGCGAAAGUGAUAAGUAUCCCACCUGGGGAGUACGAACGCAAGUUUGAA
rnacentral:rRNA from 1 species